AUGGCUUGACCUGAUGGUAUCAAUAUCCCCGAUAGCAAGUUCUACCUAGGCGAUAUUGGAUAUGCAUGUCGUCCUAGUGUUCUUCCACCCUUCAAAAAAAACAGGUACCAUUUGAAUGAGUUCUCUUCUAAAAGGUACCCUAGGACUGCAUGGGAAUUGCUCAAUCUCAUACACUCUAGCCUUAGAAUUAUGGUUUAGAAGGCAUUUAGAGCUCUGAAGAAUAUAUUUAAGAUCCUAGACGAAAAGCCAUUGUACACUUUCCCUACCUAGGUUAGGCUCGUUCUUGCAUGUUGCAUCCAUAACUGGAUCAUAUAAUAGGGUUGUGAUGAGCUUGUGUUGGAGGAGGAAGAUGUGAUCGCCGAUGAUGUUGAAACCUCUGACCAUGGUGUGGAGGCAUUCGAUAGUAAAGCGUGGAAGAGCAAAAGGUUAGAAUGGGCUGUGGCAAUGUGGACAAACAUAGAUAACACAAGGAUGUGA
rnacentral:rRNA from 1 species